UACAGAGGUCCCAAGCGUUGUUCGGAUUCACUGGGCGUAAGGGUGCGUAGGCGGUUGGGUAAGUCUGAUGUGAAAUCUCACAGCUUAACUGUGAAACUGCAUUGGAUACUAUCCGGCUAGAGGAAUGGAGGGGAGACGUGGAAUACUUGGUGUAGCAGUGAAAUGACGUAGAUAUCAAGUGGAACACCAGUGGCGAAGGCGAGUCUCUGGACAUUUCCUGACGCUGAGGCACGAAAGCCAGGGGAGCAAACGGG
rnacentral:rRNA from 1 species